UCCUACGGGGGGCAGCAGUGAGGAAUAUUGGUCAAUGGGCGCGAGCCUGAACCAGCCAAGUAGCGUGAAGGAUGACGGCCCUAUGGGUUGUAAACUUCUUUUAUAUGGGAAUAAAGUUUGGUAUGCAUACCAUUUUGUAUGUACCAUAUGAAUAAGGAUCGGCUAACUCCGUGCCAGCAGCCGCGGUAAUACGGAGGAUCCGAGCGUUAUCCGGAUUUAUUGGGUUUAAAGGGAGCGUAGGUGGAUUGUUAAGUCAGUUGUGAAAGUUUACGGCUCAACCGUAAAAUUGCAGUUGAAACUGGCAG
rnacentral:rRNA from 1 species